UGCGUAGGCGGGCUAAUAAGUCAGUGGUGAAAUCUCUCGGCUCAACCGGGAAACUGCCAUUGAUACUGUUAGUCUUGAGUUCGGUUGAGGUAGGCGGAAUGUGUAAUGUAGCGGUGAAAUGCUUAGAUAUUACACAGAACACCAACUGCGUAGGCAGCUUACUAGACCGACACUGACGCUGAGGCACGAAAGCGUGGGGAGCGAACAGGAUUAGAUACCCUGGUAGUCC
rnacentral:rRNA from 1 species